rnacentral:rRNA from 1 species
GCCGAUUCUAUACCGUUUGGCAGGGAUCUCUUUCCUGUAUGACAAUAGUAAUAUCCGAGGAAUCAGGUCAACUGGGGAUUCGCGAUGUUCUAUUGGCAAAAUGCAGCUUUUGUUGCAUCAUUGGCUAUUGGAUUGGUCCAUGAAGCGAGAGAUAGAUUCCUGUGUCAUUCGUACCGAUGACCGCAUCAGGUCUCCGAGGUGAGUAGCCUAUGGCCAUUGAGGCAUGAUAGUUCAGGGAAUUCGGCCAAUUAGAGCUGUAACUUCGGGAUAAAGCUUGGCUCUGAUGAAAAUCAGAACCGAUUGUUACGAGGAGAGCCCAACUGUUUAAUAAAAACACAGCGUCGCGCUGUUCUCUUAUAGGAAGUUAACGCGACGUGAAUCCUGCUCAGUGCUGUGUCUGUUAAUAUGGUUCAAGCCAACGAAGCACCGGUAAAUAGCUGGGGUAACUAUGACUCUUAUCAAAGUAGCGAAAUACCUCGUCACUUAAUUAGUGACCUGCAUGAACGGAGCAACGAGGUUCUCACUGUCCCAAACUGUCUCUCAGCGAACCAUCUGUAGUGGGAACGGUCACUAACUAUCCAGCGGGGAAAGAAGACCCUGUAGAGCUUCACUUUGGUCUAGUCUUGUAUAGUUCUGGCGGGGGUGCAGACUAGGUGGGAGAGCAAUCGAUUAUGAGAAACCACUACCCUGUUUGGAAUUAUGCUUACCUCCUUGAGGAAUCGGACUAGAUAGAAAGUUUGGCUGGGGCGGCACACCUUCGAAAAUGCAGCGAAGGUGUCCUAAGUUGAGCUCAGUGAGGACAGAAAUCUCACGUUGAGGAUAAGGCCAAAAGCUCAAUUUACUGUGCCUUUUUGUACUAGGACCAGUUUGGAAACAAAGGCCUAACGAUCCCUAAUUAGUCUUAGGUGCGUAAGACUUGGGGUGACAGACAAGUUACCUCCGGGACAACUGGCUUGUGGCUGCUAAGAGAUCAAAUCAACGCAGCUUUUUGAUUCUUCGAUGUCGGCUCUUCCUAUCCUAGUGAUGUACAAGUUACUAAGGGUUGGAUUGUUCACCCGUAUUAGGGAUCGUGAGCUGGGUUUAGACCGUCGUGAGCCAGGUUUGUUUUAUCCUACUGGAUAUACCAUCAUGAUAGUAGUUUGAUUUAGUACGAGAGGAACUGUUGAAUAUGGCCUCUGGUUAGCGGUUUUGGGAAACCGAACGCCGCGCAGCUACGCCGUCUGGGAUAAUGGCUGAAGGCCUCUUAAGCCAGAAACUCAUCUAGAAAAUGAUGGAUUAUGUACGAUCUCCUGCAGAAUAAUUUAUUUUCGUGGAGCAGUACGUAUGGUAACCCAAUGUAGAAGACAUUGUGUCAACGAGGGUCCUGUAAGUGGUGGAGUGGCAUUACGUCCACGACCUAUUGAGGGUCAGCCUUGUUUGUUGGUUUCCAAUAUUUGG